UUACCCACCUGGCCUUUUGGCUUAGAGUCAAGUGUAGUAUCUGUUCUUAAUAUUUAACCACUGAUUACGGAGGGCACCGCCUCCUAUUUGGUUAUCUAUUUUUGCCGCCUUGUUCCUUCGUGCUCUGCUUGCAACACGGGGGACGUGUAUGACCUUGUAACUGCAGUACUGGCUUUGCGUCGUCGGGGAUCCUUG
rnacentral:snRNA from 1 species